CGAAUGAGAGGGAAUGAAGUUCUCCCUAGGGAAACCAGAACUGCUGAAUAUAGCUGAUGACUUCUACGAUUAU
rnacentral:ncRNA from 10 species